UCCGUAGACUGUAUUGUAAGUUAUUUGUUAAAUCCUAAAGCCUAACUUUAGAAAAGCAUUUAAUACUACUAUACUUGAGUUUUUUGUCAGAAGAGUAGAAUUUCAUGUCGAGGAGUAACGACUGCAGACACAUGAAGGAAUAUCAGCAGCGAAGGCGGCUCUUUGGUAAAAACUGCGUUGAGGGACGAAAGUGUAGGUAGCAAACA
rnacentral:rRNA from 1 species